CUCUCUCUUCUCAAUUUUCUCCAUCUUCACGAAACCAGAAACUGAAAUUUUGAGAGAAACUAAACCCAAACUCAAACCCUUUUCUCCAUCUUUUUCAUCUUCUCCACAAAACCCAAAUUCUCAAACAAACUCAAAGACACAACAGAAACAGUUUGUUUAUCAUUAAACAAAACCUUUAUUUCACCUUUUAUACCAAGAAACGAUCGGAAUUCUUCGUGAUUUCAGUAAUGUGGAAUGUCUUACCAAGAUUCACAGCUAGGGGUGGAAAGAUGCAACUCAAGGCAAUGCUUCCAUCCUAUAUGUCAUCUGAUUCCAAUUCGUGAGAAUUCCAAAACCUUGGCCUCAUCCUUGUUCGGGAUCAUGGAUACAAAUCAUUCCAAAUUAAGAUACAAGAAAAGUGUUCGACUGUCAUAAAAUGUGAAGUUGUUUCUCCUGUGCUGGAAUGAGAGAUUGCAACUGAUCCUAAAGUUCAAGAUACUGCAAUUAUAUUGAAGAAAAAGCAACAAGUGGUUGCUUAAUAUGCACCUUAGAUUGUGCAUGAACAACAUCAGAGCAAGGCUGCUACGAUGUGCAUAUGUUGAUAGAUUAAAUCCGCCAAAUGGCGACGGGUAUGACUCCGAUAUUGAUGAAAUUAUGGAUUCAAGUGCCAUGUUAGGUGAUAUAGAUGGAGUACUUGGAGAUAUGUUUCAAGAGGUGAUAUGAUUAAGUGGCAUGUAAUAGGAGCCUGCUACACCAAUUGCUAAAGUUCCUUUGGUCACUUUCCACUAUCAUUCUCAGCUGCCACAGAUUCUGGGAAGACAUUGAAAGAGGUAUUCCUGAAACAUCCUUUUUCAAUAUACCUAUGUGGGCAUCUUCAUACAAGGUUUGGUAAUUUGCAGCGGCAUCAUAGUACUGGACAUAAUUUCUUAUCACUGAAGAAGUAUUUCCAACCAAAUGUCCACCAGAAUACUUAUGAAAGUAGCACAUACAAUGUUAAUUUUUCUAAUGGAUAUCCAUUUGCUAAGGAAUUCUUGGAGUGGGAAAUGUGGCAAGGUUACAACGGAUUGAUUACGAUUUUAAUUUUCAGUAUUUAAGUUGGGGAUUCUAGUAUUUUAUCUUUCAGUUUGUAUUCGAAUACUCUAUUUUCUUGAAUAAAAUAAUUAAUAAAGUAUUCAUUUUGGAA